GACGAACGCUGGCGGCGUGCCUAAUACAUGCAAGUAGAACGCAGUUGCGAACGGGUGAGUAACGCGUAGGUAACUGCCUCAUAGAGGGGGUUAGGUAUUGGAAACGAUAGCUAAUACCGCAUACUGUGCGAUGGACCUGCGAUGUAUUAGCUAGUUGGUGAGGUAAAGGCUCACCAAGGAGACGAUACAUAGCCGACCUGAGAGGGUGAUCGGCCACACUGGAACUGAUACACGGUCCAGACUCCUACGGGAGGCAGCAGGGGGGAAUAUUGGACAAUGGGCGAAAGCCUGAUCCAGCCAUGCCGCGUGUGUGAAGAAGGUCUUCGGUUUGUAAAGCACUUUCAGUUGGGAGGCGUUACCAACAGAAUAAGCACCGGCUAACUUCGUGCCAGCAGCCGCGGUAAUAC
rnacentral:rRNA from 1 species